rnacentral:lncRNA from 1 species
CCUCGUCUCAAUGCCGAUGCCAUGUCCCAUACAUGGUCUUACACUGGCACACAAAUCUCUUGUAUUGCCACGGUCCAACCAUGGUCUUUUCCGUCAAUUCAUUAGUGAACGAUCGUACUCAUUCCCUGCAUUCCACCCAAUUUGAUCUUUCAUUACAACUUUCAUGCUAUUAUGACAUUUAUGAUUCUGUAACUGAGAUUAUAAAGCAUAACAUUACUGCAUCUUGACUUCAUCAAUCUAGACAUAAAUGUCAACCUCAUGUAUAUAUUGAUUAUUAAUCAUGCAAUAAAAGCAUUCAUACAUACAUUCUGUCAUUUCAAGCAAAUUUCUUUCUUUUCCUAAACACUUGGCCAAAUCAAGUUGGACAUUUAACAUCGUAUGAAUACUAACAUGCAUAAAAGCGUUUUUUCACAACUUAACUGUGUUUUACUCCACUAUUUCACAUUCUUUAACUCAAGAGUAUCACAUAGUGAAUACUAGUUCAUAUGAAAAUCAUUAAUGUCUUUUCAUACCUUUCCCAUUUUCAGCAUGUCACAAGCAUGAUUCAAUAAUCUCAACUUUACUCUUAUCUUUAUCAAGAUUUGCUCGGUUCGAAUUCAUUCCUGUCUUAAACAACAGUUUUGUUAGGGCCGAGAGAUAUCACACUAUCACGAGUAAUACUAUGGCAUGUAUAGCUAGACUCUCUUACGCUAGGUUAGUCUGAGAACCGACUAAACCAUGCUCUGAUACCACUAAAUGUAACACCCCUCGCCCGCAUCCGACGCCGAGACAGGGUUCGAGGUGCUACUUGACUUUUACUAACACUUCCAUACUAAAUAGGGCCAUGAAAUCUCAAAUAAUUAAAAACUUUUAUUUUCAUAUACAAUCUGUCCCAUAUACGGGCUUACGAGGCCCAAAACAUACGUCCGGAGUGGUUUGGGACCCAACCGAGAACUCAUGAAAAACUUAGAAAAUCUCUUGCAUCAAGGCUUCAUACGCCCGUGUGGGUAUAGAGCACACGCCCGUGUGGGUAUAGAGCACACGCCCGUGUGCUAGGGACACGCCCGUGUCCCAAACCCGUGUACAAAAACCUAGACAAAUACAAGGCUAUUUUCCAAGCCAUUUUGUCACACUCACAAUAGAUACACACAUACUUAUACAACAACAUACAACAUGGCAAAAUUAGGUACUUAAACAUUCCUAACAUGUCAUGAUUAUGGCAAUUUCACAUGCAAUAGAUAUAAUAGAUUUUACUCACAUCUUUACCAUAUUCAUACUAUAAUCAUUAUAAACUCAUCACAUAAUACCAUAUCACAUGCAUGCAUAAUUAAAAUAGAUUUACAACCCCAUAAUCAAAAUAGGCCAACACAUAUGGUUAAAGCCAUAUCACAUACUCUAAUAUUUACAACAUAUUCUCAAGUUUACUACAAGCUAUCUUUUUGAGCAACGGUCACUAAAUUAUUUAUAUAUAGAGUUAAGAAACUCCAAAUUAAGUUCCGUUAAUUUUACCUGAAACUAGACUCAUUUAUCUUUCUUUCAUAAAAUUUCCAGAAUUUUUGACUCAGCCAAUUAGUACAGUUUAUUCCUCAAGUUUGCUCCUGAUUCACUGUCUGACAGUUUCAACCCUUCUACACUAAAGUUCAAUUAUCUCAUAGUACAGGAUUCGAAUAAUGUUCUCGUCUAUUUCUCUUGAAACUAGACUCAUAUUUCUACUUACUAGUUUUUUUAUAGAAUUUUUUGUGAAGCCAUUUAGUACAUUUUAUUAGUUAAAGUUUCCCCUGUUUCAGGGUAUGACUACUCUGACCCCUGUGCACUACGAAUCGAAUUUCUCCAUGUACAGAAUUCUAAUGACCAUGCUGUUUGUUUCCCUUAAAAAUAGACUCAAUAAGGAAUGUAUACAGGUAAGGUAUGACUAUUAAUAAUUUUUUUACAAUUUAUGGUGAAUUUAUAAAAUCAGAACAGGGGAUCUCAAAUUCAUUCAGACCCUAUUUCACAAGAAUUUAAAUAUCACACAAUAUAGAAUUCUUUUUCUUCCUCUAUUUCUUUCAUGUGAAAAUAGACUCAUUAAGCUUUAAUCCCAUAUUUUAUUCUGCCUCUAACUCAUUUUCCACUAUUUUUAGUGUAUUUUCAAAGUUACACUACUGCAGUAACUCAAAUCUGUCAAGGCUAAGUUACUCAUUCAUGGUCAUUGUUCAUAAUAUUAAUACAACACCAUUUUAUCCAUCAUGGUAAGAACACAUAUUAUGCAUCAUAGAUCAUCACAUAUCAAGGCAUUCUCAUAGGAUUAGUAUACAUACUUGCACAACUCGUAACAUAACUCGAGUGCAUACUCACCAAUGACUUACCUCAUUGGGACCAUCAUCAACUCUUUCCUUGGAUUGCCCGUUGAACACUUGGAAUACUAAUUGGAUACUCGGAAAAGCCUUUGCACAUAAGUGCCUCAAUUGUAGCUAAAACUACCUCAUAUCUCAUGACAUUUCAAUGCUCACUCUCAUGCUAGUCAUCUAGACUCAUAAUUCCUAGUGACAUGUCACUCGUAUCCUAUUCUAUUCCUAAGGUUCAAACGGGAUUUUUCAUCGUCUAUUAAGGCUUUGUCUUAUCAUAUUUCUAUUAAUCACAUACACAUUAAUAUCUGUACAAUUCAUGUAAUGAUAACAUUUAAAUACAUGUAUAGCAUGGUAUUGUUUACAUACGAACUUACCUUGAUACCACAAAGGUGAAAAGGACAUACUCGUCCAUAAAUCGAUUUCUUUCCGUUCUAGGUCCAAGUCUCAAUUUUCAUCAUCUAUAACAUCACAUUUAGCCUACCAAUCAGUCACAAUAUUCAUAUGGGUCUAAAAAUCAUAUUUUUACAAAUUUUCAUUUUGACCCCUAAACUUUUGCAUAUUUGCACUUUUGCCCCAAUGCUCGUAAAUUAAUUUUUAUCACAUUUCUUUACUCCUUGAGUCUAGAUGAACCAUUUUCAUAGCUAUAGCAACUCAUAAUUUCAACUAUUUUACACAUUUACAACUCAUUUUACAACUUAGCAAUUUAGCCCUUUUAAAGGUAUUUUCAUGCAAUUUCUUUCACAAAAGUUGUUUAUUAGACAACUAGGACUCAUAAUCUUCCAUAAAAACACAGCAAACAACAUAUUUACUCUCAUGGUAAAACCCUAAACUCUUCAUCAUUUUGCAAAAUAAUCCCCUCUUAUGAAAGCUUAUGCUUUAAGGGUUCCAAAAAUACAAAAAUCAUCAAGCAAAGACAUUAAAAUCACUUACAAGCAAGGGAAAUAUGUUGCUGAAAUUUUCCAGCUUCAAAACCCUUUCUUUGCUGCAUAUUUCGGUGAAGGGGAAGAGAAAAAUGAUAGCUUUUUCUUCUUCUUUUUU